AGCAUCUUUAUUUGAGAACACCUUGGACACAACAAUGACACGAUUCACCCUCUGUGUUGUCUUUUGUGUGGCCCUGUUUGUCCACCACGGUCAGAGUUGCUGCUGCGGGGGAACCCACAUUUCACGCACUUCCUCCUCCUACCCCAUCCCCAUCCCCGUCCCCGUCCCACAACCAGCCGCCGCACCCAGCAGCAGCUUCCUCCCCACCAUCUUCACCACGUUGGGAUGAAGCACCUUUCUCACAGACAGAGGUGCCUCAUCAGACUCACAACAUUUAGUUCAUGUAGUAAAAUAAUGUGAUUAAAUACAUCCAAUUGACAAAA